UAGACCAGGCUGGCCUCGAACUCACAGAGAUCCGCCUGCUUCUGCCUCCCAAGUGCUGGGAUUAAAGGUGUGCGCCACCCACGCCUGGCUGACCUCUUGACUCUUACAACCUUCCUGUUCGCUCUUUGGAAUUAGCCCCUUUGGCUUUGGUGGGUUGUUGAUACAGGCGUUGUUGCCUUUGCAGCUGACCAUGCCACUGCUACUUGGCACUUUGGAUAGCUGUGAGUUUCUGUAUUAACCGCCGUGUCCACUGCACAAAGAAACCCUUGAAGUGGUCUGAGAGCCACACUAAUCUGUGGGUACAGAGAUAGCAAUUUGGAGGGUGGUUUGAUAUUAUGUCCACUUAGCAAAAAUAAUAGUAGUAAGCUCAUCCCUGGAGCCUGUAGAGUAACAUGCCUUUUCAACUUGAGCGAGCAACAGAAUGACCUGGAAGACUACCGAAAACAUGUAUAUCUGGACAAUCCUCAGGCAUUCUAGGUAACUCUGGGUGUACGGUUCAACGACGUGCUCGUCCAGCAAGCACCUGGGUGACGCAGACUGCAGACAUUGCCAGCAUAGGAACCCUGUUGAGAAUCACUAACCUAAGCGAGGCUUGGCCAUUACAGUAAUUAGGCCAUGCUGCUUUAAUGGAUGCCUGAAAAAUAAUCAGAAUUUCAAACUAGAAGUCAGGUAAAGAAAUCUCUUAAUGAGAAGGAUUUGGGUCCUGGGUUCCUUCUACUUAGGUAUUUGUCAUCUGUGAGAGUGCACUGAGGCUGACUUAUGUCACCCCAUGCCGCCCAAGGAGGAAGCAGAGUGUGUAGGAAUGUUAAAGGGUCAACCUACAAUUUUUUUUUUUGUUUUGUUUUUUUGUUUUUCGAGACAGGGUUCCUCUGUGGCUUUGGAGGCUGUCCUGGAACUCCUCUUGUAGACCAGGCUGGCCUCGAAUUCACAGAGAUCCGCCUGCCUCUGCCUCCCAAGUGCUCGGAUUAAAGGCGUGUACCACCAACGCCCGGCUCAACCCACAAUUUACUUACAAACUUUCCAAUUACAUCUUACUGGCCUGAACUUUGUCACGUGAUGAUGAGGCGCAAGGGAGGCUGGGAAAGGAGGCUUCUGCCCUGCUGUUUGUGUGUCCAGAUAGAAUUCGGGGAGUUUUAUCACUGCAAAGGAGAGAAAGGUUCUGUCACCAGACCCACUUGGCCUGCCAAGCACAUGUACUCACCCUACCUGGAUGGCUCACACUGCUUCUACCAUGGGACCCAGGCAGGUUGGACUCUACAUAACCAAGGAUGACUUCGAGCUUCUUUAUGCAAAGAGUUACAGGCAUGUUCCACCACGCCUCGUUCAUGCGCGCCAGGGAUCCAACCUGAGCCUUCCCGCAAACCCGGCGAGCACUCCGCCGGCUGAACCUCAUCCCUAGACCUUUAAGUCUUCCUCAAAUGGAAAUAAAGGAAGUAGACCGUUCAAAGUAAAAAUCACCACUUACAAUGCAGAAUGGAGUGUACGGGGGGGGGGGCAAUAAAAGACUGAUUUC